AAAACACAUCAAACCAGGUGCUCCGCAGGGCGCAGCUUUAUACGACCGCAGAGGUCGAACCCUGAACAGUUGGGGCAAGUAUGGACAAAACAUUCAAGCGUGAUACAGCUCUGAAUUUGGAUUGUGAUCAAAUUUUUGACAUUACAUGGUUUUUUUUUACACAAAACAAAUGUCAAGAUUUUACAAAUUUUACAAUUAAAGAUUUCUUCUUCAAACUUUUUAAAUCUAAAAUUAAAUAGUUGACACAGCAUAGGUUUCUGACACAGAAUGAAUGUGGUCUAAUGAACUUAAAAGUUUGUUUUUGCCUUUUAGCAAUUCACUAUGCUGUUGAAUAUUAAUCCUCUCAAAAAAUGUUUGAAGAAAUUUUCUUUUUAUUUAUGAAAUCUGAAAAUGAGAAAAAUUUAACCCCCCCCCCCCCUUUUUUCACAUCCCCGUUUCCCUUUUUCCAAAACUGAUAUCAAUUCAAAUUUCUAAUGGAGUUUGCAACAAUAACUACUCUUUUAAAUACAUCAUAAAAUAUUAAAAUGUAAAAUAAAGUGCUUGUUAUCACUGAAUGGUAAAGAUUGGUUGGUAGUAAAAGUGAAUAUACAUUGUUUAUUGUAUAAAACAAUAAAAAAAACUUCAUCAGCAACAUUUU
rnacentral:lncRNA from 1 species